rnacentral:pre_miRNA from 11 species
CUUCCGAGACGAGGGUGGUCGCAAAUCCCAGGAUGAGCCCCCAAAUGAAAGACCCCCAGAGAGGGGAAACCCUCACUCAAGCCUCAGGGUGAGGUGCCACCAAAAACUCAUGAGAGACC